rnacentral:sRNA from 1 species
CCCUAGCCCCGAUAGAAGUGAAAUCCUUUUGUGCCGGGGGUUCGGCAAAAAAGAUUGGAACGUAUAGCGGGAAAAGCU